AUAGCAUUUUCAUGGAGCCCGUAAAGAAAGGGAGUUAAUUGUGUAAUUUGUGCUGAUCAGAAACUUAUAACAGUCGUCUCCCUUGAAAUAUUUGCACUUUAUGAGACACCACAAACCAUGGCGUCUCAUCAGGAUCCAAACUGUAUUCUAAAUCGUCACACUAAGCCCUCAUAAGUUAUUCAUUGUAUAUGCACUAUAUAAAACAACCAUAUAAUAUAUCUAAUAUAUCCAGACACACGUAUUAUACCCAAAUAUUAGAAAUACACAAUUUUAUAACAGUAAAAAACAAUGGUAUUUCACAAACAAUUGCAGUCGUUAAUAAAUGCAGAAAAGCAUCAUCUACACGUUUCAUACGGUAUUCAGUUUAUAUGCAAACGCAUUUAAAUAUAUUUACCUCGAUACUCGACCAAGCUGUUGAAAAAUUAUAUUAAUUAGAACGAGAACAAGUAAGAUUAAUGUGUUGUUUUCACAUUUCUUUAAAUGGCUGCCAAUACCGCAUGUAAUAAAACAAUCGAAGCGCAUGCGCAUAAUAUAUGUUACACUCCACUAAACUAGUUGCAGCAAAGACAUUCACAGGCGUUCAUGUCACUUAUAUUCAUGAUAUUUCCAUAUGCGAGUGUGAUUGUAAACACAAGUUUCUGAAAACAGUGCGAAAAGGGGCAUUACGCAAAGCCAAUAAAUCUGCGCAGAUUUUUGUCAAUAUUGACAAUAAACUGCAUGUUUUCUUACCGUUAGUAAUCCGACAGUCCGUUGGUCACAUUGUGCAUUAGUCCGUUUAAGUUAUUAUUGCCUUACACUUUUCAAUAUAAAUUUAUGAACUUUAAACAAAAUAAGUAACUAACUAAGUAACUAUUUAACUGACUAACACGCGCGUUUUUUUCCCAAUAUCCGAGACAUUUUACUUUCGCACCUUGCCCUCAAUGUCUGGCUUUUAAAGUUUACCGCCUUUUUGCGAAUACAAUGACGUUUACAUAUGAAUUGCCCAAUGAAAAUUUCGGCGGGAUGACGUCAGGCGCCAAAACUGGCGCGUGGUUUUUCCCGGUAUAGACCCAGUGUGUCAACGCUGUAAAUGCAUUGUGGGAAACGGACUAUUUCCAGCAUGGCGCCCGUAAAGAUUAUGAACACGGAAGUAAAAAUAGUAAUAAAUUAUUAUCAAAAACAGGCCUCAUCAAACCGGGUCAGCCAUGAUAUAUUCUUGGAUGCAGUUUGUGCUUCAAAAGGAGCUACUUUUCAUGCCAGCCUAUCGAUACUAUGUGGGAACUGGGAUUCGGGAUGCUCUCCCACUGGUAUCAUAUGCAGAUCAGUGGUCACAAGAACGUACACAACAUCAUUAAUGUCAGCAAUAUAUAUCUCCAACUUCAAACACACAGCUUGCAAAAUCGCUGAAUAUUGCACAAAAGCAGCUUCGUUACAAACUUCCAGCAACUCGAAAUCCACAAGCAGUCUCGUUCCCCACCCACUUUGACUUCGUAGCGAAGGCAUGUUUUUUUUGGGAAACCGUUAACAUCUCACAACUAAACGUAUACUACGGAGAUUGACAAGUUGAAAAAUAAAUUACUGUAAUCACUUCCAAUUUGCGCACUAAGUUAAACUCCAGUUCCAGUUUGUCUUUAUUGUUGAAAUGUUACUCUACACAUUCGCUUUGAAAAUAGAGGUUGGCGUGUUGUUGGAAGUACAUGUACAUGUCGAAUGUGUUAUUGUAAAAACUAUUGGUAUUGUGUUUUUAGUGCAGACAUUGUAUUUAAGUUUCGAUUUCUAGCAUAAAUUUAUAUAUUUUGUUAAAUAAUUUGCGUUUGAAUGUGAUUGUUUGUUGCUUACUUGCGAACUAUUUUUUAUGUGUAAAUAUGCAUAGACGCUAGUGGAUAUGUAAUCAGGUUACCAUAUUUACAACAAUAAAAUUUAACGGCUGUU